AUUCCUACGGGAGGCAGCAGUUAGGAAUAUUCGUCAAUGGGGGAAACCCUGAACGAGCAAUGCCGCGUGAAGGAAGAAGGUCCUAUGGAUUGUAAACUUCUGUUGUAAAGGAAGAACGACCUAAGUAGGAAAUGACUUAGGAGUGACGGUACUUUAUUAGAAAGCUCCGGCUAACUACGUGCCAGCAGCCGCGGUAAUACGUAGGGAGCGAGCGUUAUCCGGAAUUACUGGGCGUAAAGCGCUCGUAGGCGGUAUGUCAAGUCAAGGGUGAAAUCCCCGCGCUCAACGUGGGAACUGCCUUUGAA
rnacentral:rRNA from 1 species